ACUCACCAGAUAGAUCAACAUCGUUGUAUUUCGCGGCGACCGAAGAGGGUACGAGGACGAAAGGUAGAUGUCGCAAAGGAGAACGUCUUUCACCGACGAUCUUUCACUGUUGUGCCGGCUGGAUCGACACAUUCGGACUUUUAUACGAGCUGGAAGAGGGGAAAAGGAACAUCCUCGAUCCUCUUCCUUCGCUCAUUCGAUCAUCGAUCGGGCGAUCUUCGUUCAGGUGACUACGUAACCCUGAUCUUAUUACGGAUUAACGGCAUCCCUGGUUUUCGUCUUGGCCCGUCUAGAAUGGUUUACGGAGGCGAAAUUUACGCCGGGAAAUUUUUCGCCAUUCAAACCGGUGUGAUCGGAAGCGCGAACAAAGGAUCUUCUUUAAUUUACCGUGUAUUUUAUUUUAAUUAAUUUAAUAGAAACGCUUUCGCGUGAUCGUUAUCCAGCCGCGUCGAGGUUCUAGAGAAUCGAUCGACGAUACGUCCAUUAAUUUCAUUUUUCAACGGUAUUUUUCAGCCGCUCUGCUUCUUUGUUUAUCGAGUGUAAAUGUGAGAAUAAAAUUUUGCAGAUUUCUUUCACACGGGCCACGCAUGUUCGUAAGCCAAUUGUAGCGAAUAUAUUCGAUAAACCUUUCUUCUUGACAAGGUUUUUUAUAUAGCAACUUGAGCAAAAAUAUUCUCGCGCAUCCUUAUAACGGCAUUAAAAGAAACGAAAGCACAGAUCAUAUUAUUAUUACGUAGUUACGUCUGUUUCCUUUAGAUGGCAGGAUAAAAACAAGAGUCAACAUAAAUUAGGUUAUGGUAAAUUUGUAUUUCUACCAAACACAGUUCGGUUACCAAAACGAUAACAGCUCGAUGCUUGUCGUCGCAGUCAAUUUCGACACACGUGCCUAGUUCAUGAAUACUUGAGAUAAAAAGAUCUUAGUUUCCAUCAUGUAUGAACCUGUGAUUUUAAGAACGUUGAAUAUCGAACGAAAGAGGAAAGGGUUACGGCGUAAAAUGGUUGUGUAUAAUUUUGUGGAACGAAAGAGGAAAAAAGUGACGGUGCAAAAUGGUUGGGUACAAUUUUGGCAGCGAGCCUCAUCGUCACGCUGCACUGGAAGAAAGUCUGAAUGAAGGUGCAACAAGAGGGCGACAUAGCGCGGCGUUUGAACGCCUCGUGAAACGAUAUCGCAGGAAGGAGAUAUCGCAACGGAUCAUUCGAAGAUUACAAGAAAUCAAAGCCCGGUUACAUCAAAGCCCGUUAUUGAGUAAGCAUCGCUGCUGCAAGGAUGUGGUGGAUCAAAUUGCGCCGCUUUGUGUCGAUCACAGAAAGAUUUCGAGGACCCUGUGAGUCACGUGGGACGCACUGGUCGACUCUCGGAUCAUCGAAUUGACGAUUCGGAUCUGGCGAGGUUACGGGAGAACGUCCUUGAUAUCGGCCUAAAUUCCUGUGGACGCAUUCAGGCAUUUUCUCCGUAACGUAAUUCCAGAGGCAAGUAGAGGCAAGUAGAGGAGACGGGCAAAACUGAAGACGAGCGAAAGUGUGCUCGGUAUGGUGGCCCUCACGGUGAAAGUCAAACUAAUUACGAGACGAGCACGGGCACGUAAGCUGCCCGGAGAGUUAGCGUUGCAAAACAAUCCUCUUCGCUACGAAUAUUAACCCGGAACACCUGCCGCUUUCCACUGCCCGCACCAAAUUCCUCCUCAUUCUCAAGCCUGCUCUUCGUUCGUGAUACUCUUCACUGACUCAAUCUUUAUCUUCGCCCGGCUCGCCGCUCUCUUUCCCUCGUCUGUUAAAUUAUUCGGUUCUUUCGCCUUGACCAUACCCGGACCAAAUGGAACUUAUCGAAUUUGCAGGACCAUGCAUAAAAAGUUGGAGAAGAAGAAUUGCCUAUCUUAUUAAUUAUUAGGAAUAUAUGGGAAGUAAGAAAUAUAUCCCAUUUUGUACAAGAGAUUAUAAAAGUAAGAAAAUUAAUGCUAGUUAAAUCAUAAUAAAAAUCAAGUUACUAUAUUGCAGUGGUAUGUGCAUAUAUUGGGUAUAUAUGUGAAUAUGUAUUGAUGUAUGUGUGAUAUAUAAUAUAUGUAUUAUAUAUCAGCAACCUUCUUUGUAAUAGGCUGUGAAUCUGAAAUACAAGUAAAUAUACUUUAGUAUACUCUAAAAAGUA